AGAUUAUAAUCGAUGAUAUGCAGGAUACUAUCAUGUCAGAAAAAACCCGGUUACAGCGCAUAGAACGAUUACUUGAUAUACUUCCCACUCGUGGGCCUAAUGCCUUCCAUGUAUUCAUGGAGUCCUUGAAGACACCAUAUCCCCAUGUUAGCGAUACGAUCCGUGAGGCAGUGGUUGAGCUCCAGCAAUUGCAACAGCAUUAAUCUCCUGUUCAGUCACCAGAUGACCCUGUGCAAGACGAAGAGGGGAAUAAAUAAGUCGGACAAAAGAGAGAACAGGGUCACAGGGACAGCUGCAUGGUUUUAUUCUUACCUGUGGACUUACAGCCUUCAGUAUAUCAGUGGAAAGAACCAAUACCAAUCUUUUACAUAAUAUAAACGAUACAAUAAAAAAACAUUUUGCAUGAUUAAAGAAUGAUUAUAUGUAUUUUAAGUACUACCUUUGUUUCAUUAGCUGUUACGUAUAUGUGAUCACGCGUGAGAAUACUUUGCCGUUUUGCAAAGAUCCCCCACGUGUUUUUAUAUUGUUCAAAAUUAAUAUGUUCGGCCAUAAAGACAUGCGACAUCAGUAUUUAUCAACCAUUCAGUAACUUUAUAUGUUUAGAUGCUCUGUACUUUGGAUGUACAUUAUUAACUCUAUUGGUAGCAUGUCUUGACCGUAAUAAUGAUUUUUACUCAGAUAUGUUAUGGUAAGUUUUUAUUAUUUCUCUUUUUAUUUUUAUUUGGUAUGAUCUCAUAGCUUCGGUACUAAAAAUACAAAAGUUCAAAAUUA